rnacentral:rRNA from 1 species
CGAGAGCAAGCGGACCUCAUAAAGUGCGUCGUAGUCCGGAUUGGAGUCUGCAACUCGACUCCAUGAAGUCGGAAUCGCUAGUAAUCGUGGAUCAGAAUGCCACGGUGAAUACGUUCCCGGGCCUUGUACACACCGCCCGUCACACCAUGGGAGUGGGUUGCAAAAGAAGUAGGUAGCUUAACCUUCGGGAGGGCGCUUACCACUUUGUGAUUCAUGACUGGGGUGAAGUCGUAACAAGGUAACCGUAGGGGAACCUGCGGUUGGAUCACCUCCUUA